rnacentral:misc_RNA from 1 species
AUCGAGGAUGAGCAACAAGAAGCAAACGUGGGCCAACGCCCACUCGCAGCUGUGGACGUCGUCUGUUGCGCGCUCGGCCGGGUCCAGGACCCAAUCGGAGGUGUCCAGCAUUGCUUCCACUAAUAGAGAUAGAUCGCUUCUAGACGACGCUGAUGGGUACCACCAACCUCCGAGCAAUGUAUGUCCCCAAGAGCUACGCCAUCAGGCCUAUCAACCAAACGAUAAAACGCUCGCUCAAGUUUCUGACAUCCUUGAGAGCUACGGCGCAAUCGCGUGCGACGCCGACAUUCCAGCUGUUCUGCUCGAAGUGGUGAAGGAGCUGGAACGCGAAAAGCGGGACAACAACUUCAAGGACCUGCUCCUGCGAGAGUACAGUGACACUGUGCAGCGCCGCUUUGGUCUCUACGGUGAAGAGUCGCCACCGUCUAUUGCAGAGGUCUCCGCACGGUUACGAGAUGGCGCACCAGCCCGCCCUGUGGCCGCCCCAAAUCCUGCUUGGCUGGAGCAGCCGCUGAACGAACUGUGGCGCACUGUUUGCGACGGCAUGCAAGCCUGCUUUGAGAAGAACGCGGACCUCUCGGCCCCGGUGCUGCUGCCGGAGGCAAGAAGGACAAAGGCAACCGUUUCGCAGCUUCUUCACACCAGUUGUGGUGUGCUCACGCAGCUCGCUAAAGAGUACACCACUGCAAAGGCUGCUGUUAUGAAAAAAAUGGAGAGCACUGUUGCCGCAAGCCAGAGCUUCCGUCAACUUACACUCUCGGCCGCGCUUUCUGAGCUGGAGGCCCAGCAGGAGCUGAAGGGAAGUGCAUCAGAGGAUGGUGGGGCUUCUGCCAUGGGUGGCUCACACACCGUGGGAAGCGCACUGCAGUCCCUCAUUGAUGUGGUUCCGGCCUCUCUACAGAUUCACUUUAACUUGCAAGUGCCGGAGGCACCCGUGCUGACGCGAUGCAGCAACCUCACCGAGCUGAUACGCUUCCUUCUCUCUGAGUACCUAUCGAUGGAGCGCUACAUGGAAAUGGUCGAGGCGGAGAGGCAGAGGCUGGCGGAGGUGUUCUAUCUUCCGUCGUCCAAAGCCGACGCGAACGGCGACCUACAGCUGGGCGAAGCCUUGUCUCGCUCACUUCGAUCCCUGCAAGAGACCGUCACUUCUGUUGUGGCAUUCCCGCACCACAUUUCAGAGGAAGAGAUGGCGCUGCGCCACUCAUCGGCACAAGCAGUCGAAGAGCUGGCGCAGCUUCUUGUCGACGCACGGCGGGGCGGGAGUGUGUCUGGCAGCUGUACGCCGCACAGCGUUGCGGCUGUGCGGGUGGAACCGCCGACGCGAAACCUGCUGGAGAUGGUUGAACUGGUCAAGUCACGCUUUGCCACCGUUACGGCCCAGCAGCAGCGAAGGGAGCUAGCCGGGGCGCAGGGCCGUGUGGGGCUCGCCCACAUGGAGGAGUCGAUGACGAAGCACGGCAAACAUGUUGUACAGCUGCUCCGGGACCUGUGUGUUGCGCAGGAGGACGCCGCGGCAGACAGCGAGGUGUCAGAGCAGCUGCUGGUUGAAGUGAUGGGCAACGUCGAUCUAGAGCGCAACCUCACCCCCGCAAAGCUGGAUCACUUCUUGAGCGACGUAGUGGAGCGGCUGCGCAUGGUGAAAACGAAGUAUCAGCGGGCGUUGAACGCCGCUGCCGCCGGAAAGGCGCGCGCGGAAGCGGCGUCGCAGAAGAGUACGGGGCUGCAGAAACGGCUGCAGAAGGUGGCUGCCGCGGUGGAACGCAUUGGCAGAGACGGUCUCGGCCUCACCUUCCCCUCCACCCCAGCGGCUAGUGGCAUAGGGUCUGCCGGCGAGGCGAACGACGCUGGCAAAGGACGCGACGAUGCAGAGGAUGGCCGCCGCGGCAACGGCGUCAGCGCGCUCCGUCGCCUCAAUCUUCGACCCGCCCUGGAGCCCGCGACCGCCACCAAGACCUCUUCUCUGACGACCACGAAAGACGGCACGGCGAACGAAGCCAACACACCUGGCGCAGCGGUCACAGAGCAUAACGUCUUAGAGGCACUGCAGCUGGUUGCGUCCCGCAUCGGGACGAGCGGUGAGGUGCGUGACUGGGCCGUGGUGCAAGAAGAGCUGGCGCAGUUGCGCGCUGGCAAGGCGAGGUGGAAGGCAGAUACCUCGGCGUUCCACGAGGCCAUGGCAAUGUUGAUGCAACGACUUGCGAAAAACGGUCAAAUGGUGAAGCAGACCCUGUUCCUCAUGGGCACAGAUGAAUCAGCUAAAGACGAGCUGGUGGAGGAGGUGCUGCAACGCGGCAGCGAGGAAGAGCUGGAUAGCCUCUCCGCAGAGGCGAUGGAGUACGUGGAGCGCAGCCUAGCGGAGCUCUUGCAGAAGUACAACCGGUGGGCCCAGCGGCUGUUGCAGACGACUGAGGACCAUCUCUACACACAGAGGAAGAUUGUGAAAUACUUUGCUGCAGUGUGCCGCUUCUUCUCGUCGCAGAGCCGCGCAGCAGCAGAAGCCCCAGCAGAGGACAUACCAGAGGACAACCUUUAUGACAUAGACUCGUGCCUCAUGCGAGCGGCUGACAUCAUCCUGCCCUCCCUUGACGCCGCCAUUCAAGCCGCCGCGCAGGAACAAUGCCCCGCCCCCGCCACGGCGACGCCCGACGCGUCAGCCACCUUUCCUCCGCUGGCGCCUUCUUCCGAAGACGCGGCCACGAGCGGCGCAACGUCGCGACAAGAGACGCUGGUCCAGCUUGCCCGUGACUCCACUGCUGCUGCGACUGGUGGCGUUCUUCCGUACGACCACCGCAUCGCGCGGCUGUACGAAACGGUGGCACGUCUCUACACAGCCGUCACGUCGCUGCUGCAGGUUCACUACUUGUGCAUUCCCUCCGCGUCGCGGCGGCGCAGCUCGGGUGAGACGGAACUGAUGUUCGACGGCGACGCCAACGAUGACGGAUUUGUGGACAUCGACCUCGAUCGUCUCAUCCGCGUGUCGCAGCAGCGGAGUGCGGCAGCCAGUGCACCCCCCGCCGCCGCUCGCAGGGAUGGCGUCGAGCGGGAGCGGUUCAGUAAGGAGGGACACGGAGGCCACUCAGCAGGGAAGACGCCCACGCCGUCGCCGCCGAGCACCAUUGCCGCAAACAACGACCUGAUACUUCGUGUCACCUACCAGAACAUGGAAGUGCUGCAGGACACACUGAAACGCUUCAGCGCCAACCAUAAGAUGGCCGCUAUCGUGCUUCAGAAGGACGUCGACACCAUGCAGCAGCUGCUGGCGGGCAUGUUGGAGAGGUACAGCGAGGUGGACAUGGAUGGCGCGUUCGGGCAGAGUCGUGAGACCCUUCACGAGCUGUACGUGACGCUGCGUGAUCGCGGCCAGCGACAGAAGGGCUGCUACUUUUUCAAUCGCGUUGGCGGCGAGGGAAGCUGCACGUGGGUGACGGCGCUGGAGCACCUGGCGGACGGCUUUCGCGGUGUGGUGGAUCGGCUGGUGCAGCGCACCACCCUCGCAGCGGAGUAUCGCCGCCUGGUGGAUGAGGUGGUAGAUGUGUGCGCCAUGUACAUGAACUGGGCAGAGCGCCGCACUCUGCCAGCAUCUCAUGCCCUGCCUCCCGAGCUGCUGGCGCUCUGUGUACGGGACGGUAGCGAGGUGACCGCGAAGCCGACCGUCGCGACCAUGGUGGAGGGAGGUCAGAGCAGCUAUCCUGGCGGCGAUGUCGAAGCGUCCACAAAGCCUGCCUCAGGGGGCACAACAACGAUCAAUGCCACCACCGCCACGGUUGCCGCUGCAGCAGCCCAGCGGCCCCCGAAGCCGAGUCGCACGCCUCCCCUCACCCCACGCGCUUCGAACAAGGAGCAGCAGGAGCGCCAGCAGCAGCACCAAGCUGGUCAAGAGAGGGGUGCCGUUGUGCCCACCGCUGCAAGCGCUGCCGAGACGAAGAUAUCGCACUUCACGAACGACGGUGCGGUGCUGAAGGUGAUGGCACACAUGUUCCAGCUCGCCCAGAUGGCUGUCGAGUCGCCGCCUGCCACAGGCAACAAAACCGGUGAUGCUGCUGCUUUCGACGCGGAUGCCAAGGUUCAGCAGCUCACCGAGGAGAUGCAGCUCCUGCGCGAGGCCGUCGCGAUUGCCGAGCACCACGUUGAUGAGUUAGCCGACGCAAAGCAUGUGGUGGAGUUACAGCGCGAUCAGGCGCAGUCGGAGGCGGCGGUGGCGCGUGCAGAGCUGCGUCGUUGGAAGCGCCAACAGCAGCAGCACGAGCAGAAACAGUGUGGGCGCACGCCUGCUGUAGCGGACGGCGCACAGGUGCACUCCCCGCCCCGAUCGCCGAGAGAGGCUGCAUCGACGCAUCAGCCGGGCAAGACUGCUGACGGUAUCGGUGCUGUAAUAGACGAGGCCACGGUAAAGGAAGUGAUGGAGUACAUGCGUGUGUUGAGUGAGGAGCUGCAGAUGGCAAAGAAACGGGUUAGCGGCAGCAGCGCCAGAGCUCACAAACUCGUGCGCUCGCCGUGCCAAACGGCAUCGUCGCUGAGGACAAGCGGCGCGGUGUCAAAGGACUACGCCGAUGUAGUGCGGGAAGAAGACGGCGAGGAUGGCAGUGCUGCAGACGGCGACGAGGACGCUCCCUACGGUGCCCCUCAUUCGCACCGUCAUCGCCGUUCCUACGCGGAGUUGGCAGAACAGCUGCGGCACCAGUACGGCUCCACAGCGAUCGCGCCGAUGGUCGUAAUCGACCCGAAAACACACUCGUACAGCAACAGUCAGCGGCGGUCUGGCCACACACGCGACGGCAGCAGCGAGGCAUCGCAUGCGCAAAACCGCUACAGCCCCGUCAAGUACAGAGGCCCGGAGUACGACGCAUGUGACCGCUACUACGCGAGGGAGCUGGCGCAGGUGCUCAUCGAGGAAGGCAAGCACGCGGCACAUUCUUGGCGCCGCAGAAGCAUCGAUGCGCGCCACCCAGCGACAACCAAGCCGGCCUUCUCCGGGUUGUCGUUGGCCCCCACCUCGCAGCGUCAUCUGAGUGGAGAGUCGUCCCGAGGCGCAGCGCCACCGUCGGCUCGAGACCUGGACGUCUGUCACCUCGGUGGUAGCGGAAAUAGCGCAGCUGCCGCCCCUCACCGCCGCUACCCGCCGCGUUCACUAAGCCGCGACGAGCCACUUCUCUCGCCCGGGGCUGCGGCGGCGUCCGCGAGCCUCGCUUCCCCACACGCGUACCAUGCUGCGCAGCGUGCGAUCUCGGUAGCAGCGGCGGCAGCGCCAUCGUAUCGCCUAUCCCCGAAGUCCGCCACCCCUGGCGCCUGCCGGCACUCUUCCGGCAACGCCCUCUUCUCCACACCCAUGGAAGCGUGCGCGCACCAUCACCGGGGCCACUACGAUAGCGGCGAUAAUCGCCCGCGCUGUGCCGACACUGAAGGCGAAGAAGUCUUUUACGACGCUGAUACGCCGCGUGCGCAGACAGGAUGGCGGUGGUCGACACCGUCGUGGGCAGCGCCGCAGCCGCGCCGGCGGCCCUCAGCAGCGCGCGAGCGCCUCUGCAGCCCUCACGAGCAGAGCACGAAGGCAUCAAUACUAUCUCAGCAGCGUUGUCCCAAGGUUCACGACGGCCGCUGUGAACCCCCUGAAGAUGUAGGCGAGAGCCUCGCAGCAGCGGUGCGACAGUUUGACGCCGUCACGCAACGCACAACAGCGACACCGACGCGUCGCGGCUCACAGGCAGGCAGCAGACAGGACACCCUGCAUGGAAGCCCGGUCAGCGUGCCGCCGGCGUCCACCGCAGCGGCGCCGGCUUCAGAACAACAGAUGAGCCGCAAUGCCAAUUUGCGUGCCGCGGCGCUGCGUCGCCUCGCUGAGGUUGUCUCGAAGACGGCGGUGCCGACAACUCGUCGGGCGCGAUUCUGACCCCGCGCGUCAAGGCAGACCCAAAGGAAAGGAUGAUGUAGCGAGGGCCGCUGGUGUGUUCGUAUGUGUAUGAGUGAGUACCAGGGUCUCGGUAGACAGUGAUGAGGAGUGGGGUGGGCACGCCUGCGGGAGGCAGGGGGCGGUGAGCGCUGCUGCUGUUGCUGCUGCCAUCCUCUUCAGAGUAGAUCCAAUAAGAAUGUAGUCCUUUGUGUCAAGGUGUAUGCGUGAGUGAGUGAGCUGCUUCCUCGCCUCCCUCCCUCCCUCCCUCUGUGUGUGUGUGUGUGUGUGUGUGUGUGUGCACAUCGCUGCCCUUCGUUUUCCUUGUUGCUUCUGUGCCUGCUGCCUUCACGGUGUGGUCUCCUCUUCGGCCCUCUGCGUCGAAGCGACUUCCACCGCUGCCGCUGCGGCUGCGGCCUCAUCUCCUGAGCAUGGCCCCCGUUGUGGCUGCCGGGUUGUCGUAUUCCGUUUGCCAGUCUUACCUCGCUGCGUGCGUUGACUUGUUUUUGCCUGUCUGUGGCGAUGCCUGAUUCGCCGUCUUUCCACACCUCCAUCUGCCUUCCUCUUGCUCAAUCUCUUCGCUACUUGCACACGCGCCCCGCCACUGUACAUGUACAUGUACAUGUGCGUGUGUGUGUGGGCGGCUUUGCAUGGCUCUGUUUUUCUUUUCGCAUGCAUGUUUGCCUUGUGCUCUUCGUUGUCAUCGUGGUCUUGUCGUUGUGGCUUUGGCUUUGUUGCUGGCACACUCACUCACUCUGCCAGCAUCAUCCUCCCAUGCUCCUCAGACUCUACACACACACCUCACCUUCCCUCUCUCUCUCUCUCUCAUGCAUUUACGCGUUGGUGUGUGUGUGUGUGUGUGUGUGUGUGUGUGUGUGUGUUAGUGAGGUGACGAGCAACGGAGCGAGAGAGUGACGACCUGCCACACAUACAUAUGCGCUUGUUUGGCGUACGAGUUAGAGUACCCUCCUCCUGUUAAACGCCCUCUUGCUUCCUCACAUAUGUUGCUCGUCGGGUCACUGUUUGACCGCACGCAUGUGUGUAUGUAUAUGUAUGCAUAUGCGUCCCUUUGCUUCUGUAAAGGCGAUGUGUCGCCUCCGAUUCCC